GCCCCCGUAGCUCAGUUGGAUAGAGCAGCGGUUUCCUAAACCGUUUGUCGCUGGUUCAAUUCCGGUCGGGGGCACCA
rnacentral:tRNA from 1 species